CCUACGGGGGGCAGCAGUGGGGAAUAUUGGACAAUGGGGGCAACCCUGAUCCAGCCAUGCCGCGUGUGUGAAGAAGGCCCUCGGGUUGUAAAGCACUUUCAGUGAGGAAGAACGCCUGGUGGUUAAUACCCAUCAGGAAAGACAUCACUCACAGAAGAAGCACCGGCUAACUCCGUGCCAGCAGCCGCGGUAAUACGGAGGGUGCGAGCGUUAAUCGGAAUUACUGGGCGUAAAGCGCGCGUAGGUGGCUUGAUAAGCCGGUUGUGAAAGCCCCGGGCUCAACCUGGGAACGGCAUCCGGAACUGUCAAGCUAGAGUGCCGGAGAGGAAGGUAGAAUUCCCGGUGUAGCGGUGAAAUGCGUAGAGAUCGGGAGGAAUACCAGUGGCGAAGGCGGCCUUCUGGACUGACACUGACACUGAGGUGCGAAAGCGUGGGUAGCAAACAGGAUUAGAUACCCUUGUAGUC
rnacentral:rRNA from 1 species